rnacentral:tRNA from 1 species
AGACCUGUAAGUAAACGGUAAUACUGAUGCUCUGAUACGGCAUUAUUAUUGGUUCGAUUCCAAUCGGGUCUA